CCAAUUUGGUGGUGGCAGGGGCGGUGCUGGGCGAGCCCUCGCCGGACAUCGCACUCCAUGGCAGAAUCUGUGCCACCAUGUGCCGUGAAUCAUGCUGCUGCGCACCGUGGGCAGCCAUGCCUGUGCUUCGUGUCAUGUGCGGUCACGGGGAUCUGAAGAAUCACCCUGGUAACUGGAAUCUCAAGUGCCAGGCAAGUUGUGCCCUUGAUCACUUCUUUUUACCCACUCAUGUUCUAAUUAAUCAAAAUGAUCUGCAUAGGUUAAUUUUGAUGGGACCCAAUAGGUUACCCUAGUUUGUUUAUCCUGUUUACCUUGUUUACCCCUGAAUCAAUUGGGUAGUUAUGCUAUUGCUUUAUAUGGUUUUCGGGUUAAUAUUUCAUUACAUCCAUGUUCCAAUUAUUCUGUUAUGUUAUUUAUGUUCAUGAUAAGAUCAUUAUGUUAAUUGGAACAUGGAGCGACCACCCGGGAAAACAGUGCUACCACAAGGGUUUAAUGGGACGCCCUUGGCUGAUUAACUAGAAAAGCUAGUGGAGGUAUUCCUUACCCGAAAGGGGCAAGGGCAGUAGGGGAGUGGUCAGUGUAGGGAGGUCCUUGGGUUGACUUUGUUGCGAUGGCGGUAAGAACAAGAACCUGCAUUGGAGCUUCUAUAAACUGUAGCGGGAUUUCUGAAGCUAAGUGGAACUUUGUAAAGGCCUCGUAGUGUUACCCUUGCCUCGCUUCCUUGGUAGAGGUGUAUGGGACUCAUGACCCCUUGGCAGAUGGGUAACACGGCUUGUGGGUAAAGAUGCGCAACCUCUGCAGAGUGUAAAACUAGUAUACUAGCCGUGCUCACGGUCAUGAGCGGCUCGGACCCUCA
rnacentral:lncRNA from 1 species